UUUAAAGGAUAAAAGUAAUCCAUUGGUCUU
rnacentral:tRNA from 1 species